AAGCGCCUGCGCUGUUGGUGAUAGGACUGUAUUUUUUUGAGCCUAAAGCUUUUUAAGGGAUCCCAAUAUCUGGCUGCAAUGGCCGCGCCCCUCACGGGGAUGGCCUGACCUUCCGUGCGGGAACCCACCUGUAUACCAGGUUCAAAAAGCUAUCCUACACGGCAGCGCGGGUUUUUU
rnacentral:other from 1 species